AUACGUAGGGAGCGAGCGUUGUCCGGAAUUACUGGGUGUAAAGGGAGCGUAGGCGGGAGUGCAAGUCAGAUGUGAAAUACAUGGGCUCAACCCAUGGGCUGCAUUUGAAACUGCAUUUCUUGAGUGAAGUAGAGGUAAGCGGAAUUCCUGGUGUAGCGGUGAAAUGCGUAGAGAUCAGGAGGAACACCGGUGGCGAAGGCGGCUGACGGGGCUGUUACGGACGAGGAGGCACGAAAGCGUGGGGGGCAAAAAGGAUUAUAUACCCUGGUGGUCCACGCCGUAAACGAUGAAUACUAGGUGUAGGGGGUAUCGACUCCCUCUGUGCCGCAGUUAACACAAUAAGUAUUCCUCCUGGGGAGUACGGCCGCAAGGUUGAAACUCAAAGGAAUUGACGGGG
rnacentral:rRNA from 1 species